AUGAUUUGUGUGUGUGGUCAUUAUAAGGAUGAUACAUUGAUUGAUUUUUUUUUUUCUCUCUCUACAGGUGUCAUUACUUCUACCAGUUUGAGGAGAAAAACACCCGCUGGUGUCAAGCCUGGAACCAAUGAGAAGAACCUGGAGCUCAUUGGCAGCAUCCUCAGUGGCACUGUUUGCACUACUGGAAGCAAAAGCACAGAGGAAUCAAUACCAUCUUCAACUGGUGGGACAGGUUUGUUUGUUUGUUUGUUUAGGGCUGCUCUUGUGGCACGUAAGGCAUAUGGAAGUUCCCAGGCUAGGGGUUGAAUCAGACCUGCAGCUGCCAGCCUACACCACAGCCACAGCAACUCAGGAUCUGAGCCGCCUCUGCAACCUGUUACACCACAGCUCACUGUGA
rnacentral:lncRNA from 1 species